UGCCAGUCGAACGGAAACAUGUCUAGCUUGCUAGAUGAUGUCGAGUGGCGGACGGGUGAGUAAUGCUUGGGAACUUGCCUUUGCGAGGGGGAUAACAGUUGGAAACGACUGCUAAUACCGCAUAAUGUCUACGGACCAAACAGGGCUUCGGCUCUGGCGCAAAGAGAGGCCCAAGUGAGAUUAGCUAGUUGGUGAGGUAAAGGCUCACCAAGGCAACGAUCUCUAGCUGUUCUGAGAGGAAGAUCAGCCACACUGGGACUGAGACACGGCCCAGACUCCUACGGGAGGCAGCAGUGGGGAAUAUUGCACAAUGGGGGAAACCCUGAUGCAGCCAUGCCGCGUGUGUGAAGAAGGCCUUCGGGUUGUAAAGCACUUUCAGUUGUGAGGAAAAGUUAGUAGUUAAUACCUGCUAGCCGUGACGUUAACAACAGAAGAAGCACCGGCUAACUCCGUGCCAGCAGCCGCGGUAAUACGGAGGGUGCGAGCGUUAAUCGGAAUUACUGGGCGUAAAGCGCACGCAGGCGGUUUGUUAAGCUAGAUGUGAAAGCCCCGGGCUCAACCUGGGACGGUCAUUUAGAACUGGCAGACUAGAGUCUUGGAGAGGGGAGUGGAAUUCCAGGUGUAGCGGUGAAAUGCGUAGAUAUCUGGAGGAACAUCAGUGGCGAAGGCGACUCCCUGGCCAAAGACUGACGCUCAUGUGCGAAAGUGUGGGUAGCGAACAGGAUUAGAUACCCUGGUAGUCCACACCGUAAACGCUGUCUACUAGCUGUUUGUGACUUUAAGUCGUGAGUAGCGAAGCUAACGCGAUAAGUAGACCGCCUGGGGAGUACGGCCGCAAGGUUAAAACUCAAAUGAAUUGACGGGGGCCCGCACAAGCGGUGGAGCAUGUGGUUUAAUUCGAUGCAACGCGAAGAACCUUACCUACACUUGA
rnacentral:rRNA from 1 species